AAGUUACAAAUAGGUAUAACUUUUUCGUACCUUUUCAGUAACUUUUUUGUACUCCUGAUAAAAGGUACAAAAAAGUUAUAACUUUUCGAUACCUUAAUUUAAACUUAAACUUUACUAGUGUACCUUUUUGUAACUUUUCUGGACUUUAAAAAAUUCUGGUAUAACUUUUAGUACCUUUUCUGGACUUAGAAAAUAAUUGCAAUGCUGGUGAAAAACUUUGAAUAUUUUUGGUAUAACUUUUUGUACCUUUUCUGGACUCAGAAAACAAUGCCAAUUCUUGUGAAAAACUUUGUAACUUUAAAGUUAGAACAUUUUUGGUACAGUGGAACCCAGUUAUUAUGUAUAUACAUAUAUAUAUCGGUUAUAAUGAGAUUUUCCCCCAUGUACCCAUUUUUUCCUUCUUUAACUAGGCAAAAAAAUAUCAUUUAUUAUUAUAUGGUCAAAGGUAGGAACCCGCUUAUUAUGGUGUUUUUUUUCUGCUGUGAAUUGAUUUUAAAAGUAAGUUGUCCAUGUGAAACACCUGGACAAUUACGUAAUAGGUCCGGCUAACUGUACAUCGCCCGAGGUAAUCAUCGGUCCACUUCAGGUAAAUUUUUCACACCUCGCUCCACCCCAGUCAGCGGAAAACAAUAGAUCGACCAUCGCUUGCUGGUCAUACAUUUUGGUCUUAACAAAACAUAUGGUGCAGUUAAUUGCUGUAGGACUGUAUAUCAAAUUAAAAUAAUUAGACCUACUGAACACAAAUUCCGAUAAGACAACGAGCAUGCCUUUCACAAAUAUUCACGGUUACCUUGACCAAUCAUGUGAGAAAAUCAUGCCGAUUUCAAUGAAAAUAUUACUUCAGAAGGAAGACCUGUGUAUUUAAUCAUUUAAGCAAUAGUUUCUCAAUUGCAUUAGAAGUCGAUUUCCCGUGUUUCCGUUGAAAAAGAGUCAAAUUCGAGACAUACAUUUGUAACGACAGCAUGGUGCCGGAAAUCGUUCCAAAGGUUUUACGUUAUUGUCGUAAACAACUUACGACGGCUGCUUGGUUAUUGUUACAAAGGGAAUAUUUUUUGUUUUCAAUUAUUAUGGUUGUGUCCAUACUAUUUGUAUUUAACAAUAAAUAGUUAUGAUUAAUAUGAUGUAGGACUUUAUCGUUAUUGCAGCGACGCCCUAUGCGAAAAAUUAAUCUCGCGUGACUAUAAAUAGCCUUAUCAAAUUGGCCAAUGAAAAGCGCGCGGGUAAAUUUUGUAUUCGAUCGACCUCUAGAUUUUGAACUCUAACCCGGCGAGUCACAAGAAGUAAACAAAAUAUUGGAACGUGUUUUGGUUAACUGGAAAGACGAUACCUACUUCAUCAUAUCCUUGAAGACAUUGGAACGUCCGUGAAAGAGCUUGGUAUAUACGCAUUUGCUGAUGAAAUCCUUCAUGAAUCCCAGGUUUUCUGGGGAAUAUCAUGGGAAGAUCGUCGCCAUUUCAGGGAAUAUUUCAGAUGAUAACAAGAGCUGUGCACACUGAUGGGGGAAAAUACAGGCAGAAACAACAGAUGAAGAAUUCUCAGCUCCACCUCAUGAGUCUGUUAUAGAGGUCCAUGAACCUCCCCCUCAACCCCCUGCUGCAAAGAGAAUCAGUGCCGAAAACAAAUCAAACAAAGAUGGUGGAGCUUAUACCUGGGACUGGGGUUUAUGUGUAUCCCAAACACAUAAAAACUACACAGAGGAAGACGAAGGGGAACAGGUCGACAGAUAUUUGAUGUCAGUGUUCUUCACCAACACUGAGCUGGUCAACCUGGGAAAGGUUUGAACCAGACCAUUGUUUGAGCAAUAAUUGAUUAUGCUGAGGCGAUUCAUGGGAAAAGUGGCCUGUCAGAAAUCAAGUUUUCAAUGAGGACAAAAAUCAGUGCUUUGGUCAGCUUGGCCAGGAGGAACUCAACCACAUAGAACAAAUGAGACAUUUCAACUUUUAAGAACUAUUAAUAUGAUUGUUUGUUGUAACUUUACAAGAGAUAUUCUAUUAAUGAUUAUUUUAGGAAUGGUUAUGUGAAAUAGUUGUGAAUACCAGAGAAUAAAAGUGAGUAUGCUAGUGUCAAAGCUGGAGAGAGUCAUAGUCAAUGCAGGGCACUCCCUGAAAGUCAGCAUGAGAGUAUAUUUAUUGCAUUAUUGUGUAUUAUAUUGUAAAAUAAUAGUAACUACAGAAAGUAUUUAUAUAAUAGUAACUACAAGAAAAUAUUUUUGAUGUAGUAAGUGCAAGAGAAUAUCUAGAUGAUAAAUAGUAACUUCAAGAAAAUACUUAUAUAAUAGUAGCUAAAAGAAAAUAUUUAUUCAUAUAAUAGUAACGUAAAGAAAAUUAUUUAUAUUAUAGUUACUUCAAAGGAAUAUUUAUUUAUAUGAUAAUAACUACAAGAAAGCAGGUGAUAUAUAAUAGUAACUUCAAAGGAAUACUCUAUUAAAAUAGAAUUUCAUUUAAACAACAGAUCCAGUAAAGGUUAGGUUAUGAUUUUUUUUGAUAC
rnacentral:lncRNA from 1 species